GUCUAUAGCCAAACCAUCUGAAGGCACAUAAUCUCAUCUGAUCAUAGAAGGCUAAGAGGAUUCAGGCCUGGUUAGGACCUGGAUUUGAAGCCACCUGGGAAUUAUAGAUGUUGUAGGUC
rnacentral:rRNA from 1 species